rnacentral:rRNA from 1 species
UGGGGAAUAUUGGACAAUGGGUGCAAGCCUGAUCCGGCCAUGCCGCGUGCAGGAAGAAGGCCUUCUGGGUUGUAAACUGCUUUUUUCUGGGGAUAAAAGACCGGUGCGCCGGGCAUUGAAAGUACCAGGAGAAUAAGCCACGGCUAACUACGUGCCAGCAGCCGCGGUAAUACGUAGGUGGCAAGCGUUGUCCGGAUUUAUUGGGUUUAAAGGGUGCGUAGGCGGUCUAUUAAGUCAGUGGUGAAAUACGGCAGCUUAACUGUCGAGGUGCCAUUGAUACUGGUAGACUUGAGUACUGAUGAGGUAGGCGGAAUGGACGGUGUAGCGGUGAAAUGCUUAGAGAUCGUCCAGAACACCGAUAGCGAAGGCAGCUUACUAAGGAGUAACUGACGCUGAGGCACGAAAGUGUGGGGAUCAAACAGGAUUAGAUACCCUGGUAGUCCACACUGUAAACGAUGAUUACUCGAUGUGUGCGAUACACGGCACGCG